UAGGUGAAGCUGGGCCCCUUUGAGGGAAUGUGACUAAGGACGAAACCCUGAUAAAUAUUAUUUAUGUGUCCUUGGGCCAAGAGGAAGAAAGUAAAAAGGGAUGAGUUAAUUUUCAUAAAAUGCUGUACAAGGACGAGGUGCGGAACUGUAAAAUGUCCUUUCAGACAGUUUCUUGAGUUCCUGGGCAGUUUGACGAGAUUUUUGGUGCCAGGUAACUUUUCCUUGCCUUUUAUGCUGUCGCAUGUCCGUCCUUCAACACCACGUCGGUAGAAGUAACGUGGAUGGGCUAAUAAUUCUCUACUGCAAAAUAAAAAGAACCGUCUUCACCAUCUUUAUAAUUUAAAGAGAUCCUCAAGAGGCCAACCUGUGGUUUAGGAACAUACUCCCAAACUUUAAAACUGCCUGUAUCUUAUUUUGGAGUUUUUCACAGGUACAUCGCAAAAUCUCUUUUAGUAGGCAAAAGUCGACUUUUAGACUCGCUUGUUGUAGGGCAUUUUCCAAGGAGCCUCUCUAGUGACAAGUUGGAGGAAAGUGUCAUUAAUCCCAUCUUGUGGAUGAGCAAAACUGAGUUACCAAAAUGUAUCUUGACUCGCUCUUAACUGUUAUAGGUGAUUGCCUAAUGGCUGAAAAGAACCACAGGGAACUCAAAAAGGUUUAAGUUUGGAAUUUUCUGCCAUAGAAAAUUGCAGCUCCACUAUAAAACAUUCUGAAACAAUCCAGCUAACAGCAAAAAUGAAUGUCAGUUGCAGGCUGAGAGGUCUGGGCUGAAGAGUCUGGCUUUUGGCAAAGGCGUCCUGCUGCAUCAUUGCAUGGCAGAAGGCAGAAGGGCAAGAAAAGGCAAAAAUGAGAGGCAAGAGAAGAUCACUUUUUAAAGAAGUAAAUUUGAGGGAGCUGGUGCUGUGGUAUAGUGGCUAAAGCCACCACCUCCAGAGCCAACAUUCCAAUGGGCACCAGUUUGAAUCCCCGCUACUCCACUUCUGAUCCUGCUCUCUGCUAUGACCUGGAAAAACGGUAGAAGAUGGCCCAAGUCCUUGGGCCCCUACACCUGCAUGGGAGACUUGGAAGAAGCUCCUGGCUCCUGGCUCCUGGCUCCUGACUCCUGGCUCUGAAUUGGCCCAGCUCUGGCUGUUGUGGCCACUUGGGGGAGUGAACCAGCGGAUGGAAGACCUCUUUCUCUCUGCCUCUGCAAUGCUGCCUUUCAAGUAAAUAAAUAAAUCUUUAAAAAAAAAGGAAGUAAAUUUGAAAUAUUAGCUGUUUUUCUGUGAUGCAUGUUAUGAAAUUUAUAUCCCAGUUUGCUACCUGCCUUUUGACUUGUUUUAUGAUGUAAAACAUAUUUAUUUUUAUGCACUCAAAUCUGGCCAUCUUUUGUUUGUCUUGUCCCCGUAUUGCACACUACAGUUACAAAUUCAUUCCCUACAUAAAGCUAAAGACAAGUUUACCCGAGUUUCCUUCUAGAACACAAAAUCUGGGCAGUUGUUGUUGUUAUUGGUUGCAUUUGAAACCCUGACCCUUUUAGAGUUUAUUCUGUAUGGUGUGGAGAAUGCAUCUAACUUUCUAUUUUUCCAUAAAUCUGAUUAUUCUCUCUUCAAUAAGCUUGUGAAUGUCUUGAAGUCAAAGCUACCAAUUCAAUCAGCAGUGUCUGUCCUUCCUGUAAAUACACACAUACUUGCUAGGUAAUGUUUCCUGAUUUAUACUUGAGUGUAUAUUGUACCUAUUUUUACAUGUCCUUGACCAGUUAUUGGAUUUUUUUCUUUUCAACUUUUAUUUAAUAAAUAUAAAUUUCCAAAGUACAACUUUUGAAUUACAGCAGCUUUUCCCCCCAUAACCUCCCUCCCACCUGCAACCAUCCCAUCUCCCAUUUCCUCUCCCAUCCCAUUCUUCAUCAUGAUUAAUUUUCAAUUAUCUUUAUAUACAGAAGAUCAACUUAGUAUAUACUAAGUAAAGAUUUCAACAGACUGCACCCACAAAGACACACAAAGUAUAGAGCACUGUUUGAAUAGUAGUUUCACCAUUAAUUCUCAUAGUACAACACACUAGGGGCAGAGGUCCUACAUGGGGAGCAGGUGCACAGUGACUCCUGCUGUUGAUUUAACAAUUGACACUCUUAUUUAUGACGUCAGUAAUCACCCAAGGCUCUUGUCAUGAGCUGCCAAGGCCAUGGAAACCUCCUGAGUUCACCAACUCUGAUCUUAUUUAGACAAGGCCAUAUUCAAAGUGGAAGUUCUCGCCUCCCUUUGGAGAAAGGUAGAGAACUGCCACCUGUCAACAAGACUUCUCAUUUUUCUGUACACACGGCCAAUUUAUCUUGGAUGCAGAAUUUCAAAGUCUCACUUUCUCCUUAUUCUAGUUAUAGCAAUUUUCUGAUUCACUGUCAAGUACAAGAAAAAAGAGCAGCAGUACUGAGAGAAUGAUUGCACACAGCCGAAAUGGGGGGCACUUGCUUCUGACUCCAUGCAAGGAAGCACUGUCGAUGUGAAAUUGCACUCAAAGCUUUGCGUUCCCAAGAGAACGAAGAACAGGAGACCUGGAAAAGUGACGUGUUCAUCAGUAAGCAAUGGUGGAAUCAGAAACAUAAAAGAACCAAUGAAGAGAUUCCCAAGCCCCUACCAAAAAUGAGACCUCUGGGGAAAGCUGCUGGGACCAUACAUGCUUCCUGAUAGUUUUCCAUUUUAGAAAAGUUGGAAUGUGAGCAUUACCAUUCAUUAUACAGUAGAUUCUGUUUUUCCCUAGACUUUUAUCAAAUAAUUACAAACUUAAAAAUACUUAAAAUUGAAUAAAGUUUCCACUAUAAAAAUGAAUUUUUGGUCAGCAAGAAUUGCAAAGAGAAUCAGUCCUUAUGAGAUUCAAAACUUUUAUCUUCCUUGUACCCUUCUAAUACUAGAAAUUAUGGUUCCAACUUGUAAAAUUUUACCCUUGCCAUGGUUUCUAUAUUUUACAGCAUUUCCCUAUUUUUUUCCCACAACCAUCCCUUUUAAGACCAUGGGAAUUUCUUUCAUAUCUGAGGCUCCCAUGCAGGGCUAUCUAAUAAAACUUUCUACGCUGGUGGGAACCUGCAUUUUCACUGUUCAAUACAGUAGUCACUAGGCACACAUGAUGACUGAGCACUUGAAGUAUCCCUGAUGCCGAUUAGCAACAUAGUGUUAAACUGUAUCUUUUUUUUUUUUUUUUUAAGAUUUAUUUAUUUAUUUGAAGGGCAGAGUGACAGAGAGAGAUCUUCCAUCUGCUGGUUCAUUACUCAAGUGGCUACAGCAGUCAGGGCUGGGCCAGGCUCAAGCCAGUAGCCUAGAACACCAUCUGGGUUUCCCACCUGGGUGCGGUGCAGGGACCCAAAGACUUGUGUCAUCUUCAGGCACAUUAGCAGGGAGCUUGAUCAGAAGUGGAGAAUGACUGGGACUCAAAUCUAUGCCGAUAAGAGACUGGCUUUGCAGGCGGCAGCUUAAUCCACUGCACCACAAAGCUGGUGCCCCAAAGUGUUAAACUUUAUAGUUUAUAGUUAGUUUCAGUUACUUACAACUAAAAUGUGAAGUCACGUGGGGUCGGUCAGUGGCUACUGUAUUGGACAGCCAAGUCCAAUGUUUCCCUUGGAGCUCAGAAACUUACCUCAUUUUCUUUUCUUUCUUUCUUUUUUUU